GGUUAAGCGACUAAGCGUACACGGUGGAUGCCCUGGCAGUCAGAGGCGAUGAAGGACGUGCUAAUCUGCGAUAAGCGUCGGUAAGGUGAUAUGAACCGUUAUAACCGGCGAUUUCCGAAUGGGGAAACCCAGUGUGUUUCGACACACUAUCAUUAACUGAAUCCAUAGGUUAAUGAGGCGAACCGGGGGAACUGAAACAUCUAAGUACCCCGAGGAAAAGAAAUCAACCGAGAUUCCCCCAGUAGCGGCGAGCGAACGGGGAGGAGCCCAGAGCCUGAAUCAGUGUGUGUGUUAGUGGAAGCGUCUGGAAAGGCGCGCGAUACAGGGUGACAGCCCCGUACACAAAAAUGCACAUAUUGUGAGCUCGAUGAGUAGGGCGGGACACGUGGUAUCCUGUCUGAAUAUGGGGGGACCAUCCUCCAAGGCUAAAUACUCCUGACUGACCGAUAGUGAACCAGUACCGUGAGGGAAAGGCGAAAAGAACCCCGGCGAGGGGAGUGAAAAAGAACCUGAAACCGUGUACGUACAAGCAGUGGGAGCCUCUUUUAUGGGGUGACUGCGUACCUUUUGUAUAAUGGGUCAGCGACUUAUAUUCUGUAGCAAGGUUAACCGAAUAGGGGAGCCGAAGGGAAACCGAGUCUUAACUGGGCGUUAAGUUGCAGGGUAUAGACCCGAAACCCGGUGAUCUAGCCAUGGGCAGGUUGAAGGUUGGGUAACACUAACUGGAGGACCGAACCGACUAAUGUUGAAAAAUUAGCGGAUGACUUGUGGCUGGGGGUGAAAGGCCAAUCAAACCGGGAGAUAGCUGGUUCUCCCCGAAAGCUAUUUAGGUAGCGCCUCGUGAAUUCAUCUCCGGGGGUAGAGCACUGUUUCGGCAAGGGGGUCAUCCCGACUUACCAACCCGAUGCAAACUGCGAAUACCGGAGAAUGUUAUCACGGGAGACACACGGCGGGUGCUAACGUCCGUCGUGAAGAGGGAAACAACCCAGACCGCCAGCUAAGGUCCCAAAGUCAUGGUUAAGUGGGAAACGAUGUGGGAAGGCCCAGACAGCCAGGAUGUUGGCUUAGAAGCAGCCAUCAUUUAAAGAAAGCGUAAUAGCUCACUGGUCGAGUCGGCCUGCGCGGAAGAUGUAACGGGGCUAAACCAUGCACCGAAGCUGCGGCAGCGACACUAUGUGUUGUUGGGUAGGGGAGCGUUCUGUAAGCCUGUGAAGGUGUGCUGUGAGGCAUGCUGGAGGUAUCAGAAGUGCGAAUGCUGACAUAAGUAACGAUAAAGCGGGUGAAAAGCCCGCUCGCCGGAAGACCAAGGGUUCCUGUCCAACGUUAAUCGGGGCAGGGUGAGUCGACCCCUAAGGCGAGGCCGAAAGGCGUAGUCGAUGGGAAACAGGUUAAUAUUCCUGUACUUGGUGUUACUGCGAAGGGGGGACGGAGAAGGCUAUGUUGGCCGGGCGACGGUUGUCCCGGUUUAAGCGUGUAGGCUGGUUUUCCAGGCAAAUCCGGAAAAUCAAGGCUGAGGCGUGAUGACGAGGCACUACGGUGCUGAAGCAACAAAUGCCCUGCUUCCAGGAAAAGCCUCUAAGCAUCAGGUAACAUCAAAUCGUACCCCAAACCGACACAGGUGGUCAGGUAGAGAAUACCAAGGCGCUUGAGAGAACUCGGGUGAAGGAACUAGGCAAAAUGGUGCCGUAACUUCGGGAGAAGGCACGCUGAUAUGUAGGUGAAGUCCCUCGCGGAUGGAGCUGAAAUCAGUCGAAGAUACCAGCUGGCUGCAACUGUUUAUUAAAAACACAGCACUGUGCAAACACGAAAGUGGACGUAUACGGUGUGACGCCUGCCCGGUGCCGGAAGGUUAAUUGAUGGGGUCAGCGCAAGCGAAGCUCUUGAUCGAAGCCCCGGUAAACGGCGGCCGUAACUAUAACGGUCCUAAGGUAGCGAAAUUCCUUGUCGGGUAAGUUCCGACCUGCACGAAUGGCGUAAUGAUGGCCAGGCUGUCUCCACCCGAGACUCAGUGAAAUUGAACUCGCUGUGAAGAUGCAGUGUACCCGCGGCAAGACGGAAAGACCCCGUGAACCUUUACUAUAGCUUGACACUGAACAUUGAGCCUUGAUGUGUAGGAUAGGUGGGAGGCUUAGAAGUGUGGACGCCAGUCUGCAUGGAGCCGACCUUGAAAUACCACCCUUUAAUGUUUGAUGUUCUAACGUUGACCCGUGAUCCGGGUUGCGGACAGUGUCUGGUGGGUAGUUUGACUGGGGCGGUCUCCUCCUAAAGAGUAACGGAGGAGCACGAAGGUUGGCUAAUCCUGGUCGGACAUCAGGAGGUUAGUGCAAUGGCAUAAGCCAGCUUGACUGCGAGCGUGACGGCGCGAGCAGGUGCGAAAGCAGGUCAUAGUGAUCCGGUGGUUCUGAAUGGAAGGGCCAUCGCUCAACGGAUAAAAGGUACUCCGGGGAUAACAGGCUGAUACCGCCCAAGAGUUCAUAUCGACGGCGGUGUUUGGCACCUCGAUGUCGGCUCAUCACAUCCUGGGGCUGAAGUAGGUCCCAAGGGUAUGGCUGUUCGCCAUUUAAAGUGGUACGCGAGCUGGGUUUAGAACGUCGUGAGACAGUUCGGUCCCUAUCUGCCGUGGGCGCUGGAGAACUGAGGGGGGCUGCUCCUAGUACGAGAGGACCGGAGUGGACGCAUCACUGGUGUUCGGGUUGUCAUGCCAAUGGCACUGCCCGGUAGCUAAAUGCGGAAGAGAUAAGUGCUGAAAGCAUCUAAGCACGAAACUUGCCCCGAGAUGAGUUCUCCCUGACCCUUUAAGGGUCCUGAAGGAACGUUGAAGACGACGACGUUGAUAGGCCGGGUGUGUAAGCGCAGCGAUGCGUUGAGCUAACCGGUACUAAUGAACCGUGAGGCUUAACCUU
rnacentral:rRNA from 1 species